CACGCCGAAAGACCAAGGUUUCCUGCGCAACGUUAAUCGACGCAGGGUUAGUCGGUCCCUAAGGCGAGGCUGAAAAGCGUAGUCGAUGGAAAACAGGUUAAUAUUCCUGUACUUCCAGUUAUUGCGAUGGAGGGACGGAGAAGGUUAGGCCAGCCUGGCGUUGGUUGUCCAGGUUUAAGGUGGUAGGCUGAAAUCUUAGGCAAAUCCGGGAUUUCAAGGCCGAGAGCUGAUGACGAGUUGCCUUUAGGCGACGAAGUGGUUGAUACCAUGCUUCCAAGAAAAGCUCCUAAGCUUCAGAUAACUGGGAACCGUACCCCAAACCGACACAGGUGGUUAGGUAGAGAAUACCAAGGCGCUUGAGAGAACUCGGGUGAAGGAACUAGGCAAAAUGGCACCGUAACUUCGGGAGAAGGUGCGCCGGCGAGGGUCAAGGACUUGCUCCGUAAGCCCAUGCCGGUCGAAGAUACCAGGCCGCUGCGACUGUUUAUUAAAAACACAGCACUCUGCAAACACGAAAGUGGACGUAUAGGGUGUGACGCCUGCCCGGUGCCGGAAGGUUAAUUGAUGGGGUUAGCGCAAGCGAAGCUCUUGAUCGAAGCCCCGGUAAACGGCGGCCGUAACUAUAACGGUCCUAAGGUAGCGAAAUUCCUUGUCGGGUAAGUUCCGACCUGCACGAAUGGCGUAACGAUGGCGGCGCUGUCUCCACCCGAGACUCAGUGAAAUUGAAAUCGCUGUGAAGAUGCAGUGUAUCCGCGGCUAGACGGAAAGACCCCGUGAACCUUUACUAUAGCUUUGCACUGGACUUUGAAUUUGCUUGUGUAGGAUAGGUGGGAGGCUUUGAAGCGUGGACGCCAGUUCGCGUGGAGCCAUCCUUGAAAUACCACCCUGGCAACUUUGAGGUUCUAACUCAGGUCCGUUAUCCGGAUCGAGGACAGUGUAUGGUGGGUAGUUUGACUGGGGCGGUCUCCUCCUAAAGAGUAACGGAGGAGUACGAAGGUGCGCUCAGACCGGUCGGAAAUCGGUCGUAGAGUAUAAAGGCAAAAGCGCGCUUGACUGCGAGACACACACGUCGAGCAGGUACGAAAGUAGGUCUUAGUGAUCCGGUGGUUCUGUAUGGAAGGGCCAUCGCUCAACGGAUAAAAGGUACUCCGGGGAUAACAGGCUGAUACCGCCCAAGAGUUCAUAUCGACGGCGGUGUUUGGCACCUCGAUGUCGGCUCAUCACAUCCUGGGGCUGAAGCCGGUCCCAAGGGUAUGGCUGUUCGCCAUUUAAAGUGGUACGCGAGCUGGGUUUAGAACGUCGUGAGACAGUUCGGUCCCUAUCUGCCGUGGACGUUUGAGAUUUGAGAGGGGCUGCUCCUAGUACGAGAGGACCGGAGUGGACGAACCUCUGGUGUUCCGGUUGUCACGCCAGUGGCAUUGCCGGGUAGCUAUGUUCGGAAGAGAUAACCGCUGAAAGCAUCUAAGCGGGAAACUUGCCUCAAGAUGAGAUCUCACUGGGAUCUUGAAUCCCCUAAAGGGCCGUCGAAGACUACGACGUUGAUAGGUUGGGUGUGUAAGCGCUGUGAGGCGUUGAGCUAACCAAUACUAAUUGCCCGUGAGGCUUGACC
rnacentral:rRNA from 1 species